rnacentral:rRNA from 1 species
UACGAAGGGGGCUAGCGUUGCUCGGAAUCACUGGGCGUAAAGGGCGCGUAGGCGGCCUGAUCAGUCGGGGGUGAAAGCCUGUGGCUCAACCACAGAAUGGCCUUCGAUACUGUCGGGCUUGAGACCGGAAGAGGUAAGUGGAACUGCGAGUGUAGAGGUGAAAUUCGUAGAUAUUCGCAAGAACACCAGUGGCGAAGGCGGCUUACUGGUCCGGAUCUGACGCGUGA